rnacentral:rRNA from 1 species
GAUGAACGCUAGCUACAGGCUUAACACAUGCAAGUCGAGGGGAAACGACAUCGAAAGCUUGCUUUGAUGGGCGUCGACCGGCGCACGGGUGAGUAACGCGUAUCCAACCUGCCCACCACUUGGGGAUAACCUUGCGAAAGUAAGACUAAUACCCAAUGAUAUCCCACGAAGGCAUCCGAAUGGGAUUAAAGAUUUAUCGGUGAUGGAUGGGGAUGCGUCUGAUUAGCUUGUUGGCGGGGUAACGGCCCACCAAGGCAACGAUCAGUAGGGGUUCUGAGAGGAAGGUCCCCCACAUUGGAACUGAGACACGGUCCAAACUCCUACGGGAGGCAGCAGUGAGGAAUAUUGGUCAAUGGGCGAGAGCCUGAACCAGCCAAGUAGCGUGCAGGACGACGGCCCUAUGGGUUGUAAACUGCUUUUAUAAGGGAAUAAAGUGGGUCACGUGUGACUUUUUGCAUGUACCUUAUGAAUAAGGACCGGCUAAUUCCGUG